rnacentral:rRNA from 1 species
CGUCUAUAUACGUAUAGCAUAUCAAUAAGCGGAGGAAAAGAAACUAACUAGGAUUCCCUCAGUAACGGCGAGUGAAGCGGGAAGAGCUCAAAUUUGAAAUCUUCAAGGUUCUACCUUGACGAAUUGUAGUUUAAAGAAGUGUUUUCUGUUGGAGUUUUGGUAAAAGUUCUUUGGAAUAGGACAUCAUAGAGGGUGAGAAUCCCGUAUUUGACCAUUAUUUCCAACUUUGUGAUACACUUUCAAAGAGUCGGAUUGUUUGGGAAUGCAGUCCAAAAUGGGUGGUAAAUUUCAUCUAAAGCUAAAUACUGGCGAGAGACCGAUAGCGAACAAGUACCGUGAGGGAAAGAUGAAAAGAACUUUGAAAAGAGAGUUAAGCAGUACGUGAAAUUGUCAAAAGGGAAGCGUUUGACACCAGUGUUAGUUUUCUCGAAAAUCAAUUAAAAAUGGUGGGAUGUUGUGUUGUAUUGACUUUAUCAGCUUUCUGCACUUUUUUCCUAUCUUUUUUAAUGCACUUUUCGUUUAACAAGUCAACAUCAAUUUCUUUUGUUGUAAAAGGGUCAUUGGAAGGUGGCUUUCUUUUCGGAGAAAGUGUUUAUAGCCUUUGGCUUCUGCAAUCGGAGAGAUUGAGGUCUGCAGCGUAGAUCCUUCGGGGUUAGAUACAUUUGUGCUAAGUUAUAGCCUUUCAUAGACAACUUGUUGACUAUGAUCAGUCAUGUAGCUUACUCGCUUAUGUUAUUUUACCUACGCUUAGGAUGUUGACGAUCAGCUGAGCGCG